CCUACGGGGUGCAGCAGUGAGGAAUAUUGGUCAAUGGGCGCGAGCCUGAACCAGCCAAGCCGCGUGAGGGAAGAAUGCACUACGGGUUGUAAACCUCUUUUAUCAGGGAACAAAGUGAGGCACGAGUGCCUGUAUGUGUGUACUUUAUGAAUAAGGAUCGGCUAACUCCGUGCCAGCAGCCGCGGUAAUACGGAGGGUCCGAGCGUUAUCCGGAUUUAUUGGGUUUAAAGGGCGCGUAGAGGGGUUGUUAAGUCAGGUGUGAAAGUGCGGGGCUCAACCGUAGAAGUGCAGUUGAUACUGGCAGCCUUGAGUACAGGUGAGGUAGGCGGAAUUCGUGGUGUAGCGGUGAAAUGCUUAGAUAUCGCGAAGAACUCCGAUUGCGAAGGCAGCUUACUAAACUGCCACUGACACUGAGGCACGAAAGCGUGGGUAUCGAACAGGAUUAGAUACCCGAGUAGUC
rnacentral:rRNA from 1 species